GGCAGGUGAUGUCCUUUCUCACGAUGGUCUUCAGAAGUCCUGACUGAUUGGGGUUAUUGCUGAAUCUGCCUUAAGGCUCAGCUGAUGCCAGUUC